GGGCCCGCACAAGCGGUGGAGCAUGUGGUUUAAUUCGAUGAUACGCGAGGAACCUUACCAGGGCUUAAAUGUAAGUUGCAUAGAUCAGAGAUGGUCUUUUCUUCGGACUACUUACAAGGUGCUGCAUGGUUGUCGUCAGCUCGUGCCGUGAGGUGUCAGGUUAAGUCCUAUAACGAGCGCAACCCCUACCGUUAGUUGCCAGCGAUUCAAGUCGGGGACUCUAACGAGACUGCCUAGGUUAACUAGGAGGAAGGUGAGGAUGACGUCAAGUCCGCAUGGCCUUUAUGUCUGGGGCUACACACGUGCUACAAUGGUCGGUACAGAAGGCAGCGAAGCCGAAAGGUGGAGCAAAUCCCUAAAACCGAUCCCAGUUCGGAUAGAAGUCUGCAACUCGACUUCUUGAAGUUGGAAUUGCUAGUAAUGA
rnacentral:rRNA from 1 species